GACUGGGUAGCUCAGUUGGUUAUAGCGUGGUGCUGAUAAUGCCAAGGUCACAGGUUCAAUCCCCGUAUGGGACA